GUAGAUCGUGCCGGGCGCGCCCUCGGCGCGUGCGACCAUGCGGCC
rnacentral:sRNA from 1 species